rnacentral:rRNA from 1 species
AGCGAACGCUGGCGGUAGGCCUAACACAUGCAAGUCGAACGGCAGCACAGUAAGAGCUUGCUCUUACGGGUGGCGAGUGGCGGACGGGUGAGGAAUACAUCGGAAUCUACUUUUUCGUGGGGGAUAACGUAGGGAAACUUACGCUAAUACCGCAUACGACCUACGGGUGAAAGCAGGGGAUCUUCGGACCUUGCGCGAUUGAAUGAGCCGAUGUCGGAUUAGCUAGUUGGCGGGGUAAAGGCCCACCAAGGCGACGAUCCGUAGCUGGUCUGAGAGGAUGAUCAGCCACACUGGAACUGAGACACGGUCCAGACUCCUACGGGAGGCAGCAGUGGGGAAUAUUGGACAAAGGGCGCAAGCCUGAUCCAGCCAUACCGCGUGGGUGAAGAAGGCCUUCGGGUUGUAAAGCCCUUUUGUUGGGAAAGAAAAGCAGCAGGUUAAAACCCCGCUGUUCUGACGGUACCCAAAGAAUAAGCACCGGCUAACUUCGUG